UAGGGAAUCUUCCGCAAUGGGCGAAAGCCUGACGGAGCAACGCCGCGUGAGUGAUGAAGGUCUUCGGAUCGUAAAACUCUGUUAUUAGGGAAGAACAAAUGUGUAAGUAACUAUGCACGUCUUGACGGUACCUAAUCAGAAAGCCACGGCUAACUACGUGCCAGCAGCCGCGGUAAUACGUAGGUGGCAAGCGUUAUCCGGAAUUAUUGGGCGUAAAGCGCGCGUAGGCGGUUUUUUAAGUCUGAUGUGAAAGCCCACGGCUCAACCGUGGAGGGUCAUUGGAAACUGGAAAACUUGAGUGCAGAAGAAGAAAGUGGAAUUCCAUGUGUAGCGGUGAAAUGCGCAGAGAAAUGGAGGAACACCAGUGGCGAAGGCGACUUUCUGGUCUGUAACUGACGCUGAUGUGCGAAAGCGUGGGGAUCAAACAGG
rnacentral:rRNA from 1 species